rnacentral:rRNA from 1 species
AUUGAACGCUGGCGGCAGGCCUAACACAUGCAAGUCGAACGAGUGGCGGACGGGAGAGUAAUGUCUGGGAAACUGCCUGAUGGAUGGGGAUAACUACUGGAAACGGUAGCUAAUACCGCAUACCAUCAGAUGUUCCCAGGUGGGAUUAGCUUGUUGGUGGGGUAACGGCUCACCAACGCGACGAUCCCUAGCUGGUCUGAGAGGAUGACAAGCCACACUGGACAUGAGUGACGGUCCAUACGCCUACGGGAGGCAGCAGUGGGGGAUAUGGAACAGUGGGCGCAAGGCUGAUGCAGCGAAGGCGCGGAUAUGAAGAAGGCCUUCAAGUUGUAAAGUAUUUUCAGCGGGGAGGGGUUACCUGCAGAAGAAGCACCGGCUAACUCCGUGCCAGCAGCCGCGGUAAUUC